rnacentral:rRNA from 1 species
CGGACCGGCAAACGGGUGCGGAACACGUACACAACCUUCCUUCAAAUGGGGAAUAGCCCAGGGAAACUUGGAUUAAUACCCCGUAAUAUUAUGAGGUGGCAUCACUUUAUAAUUAUAGCUCCGGCGUUUGGAGAUGGGUGUGCGGCUGAUUAGGUAGUUGGCGGGUAACGGCCCACCAAGCCUUCGAUCAGUAACUGGUGUGAGAGCACGACCAGUCACACGGGCACUGAGACACGGGCCCG